CCAAUCUUUGUUGUCUUAGUUCAUUGAGGUUUGCUGGAAUUUGUUUAUGUACAGCUCUCAUGAGGUCCCGUCAAAUUCCAAACGGGUUGAGGUCUGGACUGGGACUUGAUUUUCUUUUUCUGUCAUGUGUUCUUGUUCAUCUGAGGCUGUAUUUACCCAAUUUUAAGACCUACUAAGGAACAGAUGAUGGUUAUGUCCUGAUACCGGAUAUGUAACACCAAAGAGGGUGUACUUUCUUUUCCGCACGACUGUAUAAAAUUUGAUAUUAG